rnacentral:rRNA from 1 species
AUUGAACGCUGGCGGCAGGCCUAACACAUGCAAGUCGAACGGUAACAGGAAGCAGCUUGCUGCUUCGCUGACGAGUGGCGGACGGGUGAGUAAUGUCUGGGAAGCUGCCUGAUGGAGGGGGAUAACUACUGGAAACGGUAGCUAAUACCGCAUAAUGUCGCAAGACCAAAGAGGGGGACCUUCGGGCCUCUUGCCAUCGGAUGUGCCCAGAUGGGAUUAGCUUGUUGGUGGGGUAACGGCUCACCAAGGCGACGAUCCCUAGCUGGUCUGAGAGGAUGACCAGCCACACUGGAACUGAGACACGGUCCAGACUCCUACGGGAGGCAGCAGUGGGGAAUAUUGCACAAUGGGCGCAAGCCUGAUGCAGCCAUGCCGCGUGUAUGAAGAAGGCCCUCGGGUUGUAAAGUACUUUCAGCGGGGAGGAAGGGAGUAAAGUUAAUACCUUUGCUCAUUGACGUUACCCGCAGAAGAAGCACCGGCUAACUCCGUG